UUGUAGUCUGCAACCCGACUACAUGAAGCUGGAAUCGCUAGUAAUCGCGGAUCAGAAUGCCGCGGUGAAUACGUUCCCGGGUCUUGUACACACCGCCCGUCACACCAUGGGAGUCGGAAAUGCCCGAAGUCUGUGACCCAACCUUAGGGAGGGAGCAGCCGAAGGCAGGUCGGAUGACUGGGGUGAAGUCGUAACAAGGUAUC
rnacentral:rRNA from 1 species